rnacentral:rRNA from 1 species
UACGAAGGGAGCUAGCGUUGUUCGGAAUCACUGGGCGUAAAGCGCACGUAGGCGGAUUUGCCAGUCAGGGGUGAAAUCCCGGGGCUCAACCUCGGAACUGCCUUUGAUACAGCAAGUCUUGAGUUCGAGAGAGGUGGGUGGAAUUCCUAGUGUAGAGGUGAAAUUCGUAGAUAUUCGCAAGAACACCAGUGGCGAAGGCGGCCAACUGGUCCGAUACUGACGCUGAGGCGCGAAAGCGUGGGGAGCAAACAGGG